UACACAAUUCUGUGCAAGUCAAUACUUGGCCUCUAGAAUAUAACCUUUCUGUAUAAUUCUUAUUGUUCUGUUUUAGUCUAAGUGAUUAUUGCUUGAUUUUCCCCCACUUCUCCAUUUACUUCAUUGUUUCAUACCCACUUUUUCCACUCAUGCCUUUGAAUUGGAUUAUAGACUGGCUAUGGCCGGCAUUUUGAAAUUACUAAAGGAACUGGUAUCUUCAAUCAAGAAGCCUAAUAAAGAGUGAAAAUCCUAGACCAAUACUGCUACCAGGCAAAAAAUUUAAAAAGGUGAAGGUAUAUAAAUCAAGAUAGAUAGAAAAUGAAGAAAUUACAAACAGGCCAACUUCUUAAGCACUUUAUCGAUAGAUGAGAACAAACAUUUAGUAGGCAAAUAAAUAUUUGAGCAUCUGCUCUGUGGUUGUCAUUAUGCCUUUCAUGUCACUUACUGUUUUCUUCCUUUUAAAUAUAUAUACAUCUUAUCUCUCCUCAAGACUAUAAGCAACUUGAAAACGGAAUUCCAUAGUAGCUAAUACAGUAUUUUGAGAUCAAUAAUUAGAGAUCAAUAAAUACUCACUGAUGAACAAGUCAAACAUACCAAUAUCCAAAUAAAGAACUCUUGGCUCUCAAACCUCUUCCUCUUAGCAUAGUAUCAAAGAAAGCACCAUUCUGGUGCCCACAGUUGGUGGAACCACACCCUGCCCCUCCCCAAACAAACAAUACUGGGCUAUUCCUUUUUUCUUUUCUUUUCUUUUUUUUUUUGCUUUGAGGCAGAGUCUUGCUCUGUUGCCCAGGCUGGAGUGCAGUGGCACAAUCUCGGCUCACCGCAACCUCUGCCUCCCAGGUUCAAGCAAUUAUCCUGCCUCAGCCUCCCGAGUAGCUGGACUGCAUGCUACCACACCCAGCUAAUUUUUUUUUAUUUUUAGUAGAGACAGGGUUUCACUACAUUGGCCAGGCUGGUGUUGAACUCCUGACUUAGGUGAUCCGCCUGCCUCGGCCUCUCACAGUGCUGGGAUUACAGGCGUAAGACACAGUGCUCAGCCCCAAAUGGGAAAUGGAUCCAUCUAUAUCAAUAUGGAGAACACUCCCAAUAAACCUACCAGGAAAAAAAAAAUUCACCUAAUUCUUUAAGUAAACAAUCUACAGCAAAAGUAACAACAAACUCUGGCCCAGACAUUAUUUUAAGGCUUAAAUUUAUAAUUUUUCUAUGUCUAAUUCUCCUUACAGGAAAAAAAAAACAAAAACGAAUUGAAAGACAAAGUUACAUGAAAACAAGUAGAUGGAAUAUGAAGAAAAAGGCUGAGGCAUUGAGAAGGUCUAUUUAAUUACCAAGAAGUAAAUUUAUUUUCAGAUGAGUGACAGUCAAUAUUAUUUUUAUUUAUCCUCAUCUCACUUUAAUUAAAAGGUGCAAUGGCACGCAUAGUUUUUUAAAAAUCUCACAGUUGCUAUUAUGCCUUAGUGAAGGUUGUCUUGUCAUAUGUCUGAGUGUCAGCUUAUACUUAUCUACACGUCACCUACAAUUAAAUGUUCUCAGUAGAUAAAGCUUUAGUUACAGCUGAAUAUUGUUCCAGGAAACCCCAUUAGGAGUUUCAUUAUUUACUCUACACCAAUAAUGGCAGCUGUUGCAUUUCUGUCCACAAUGCACUCCUUCCAUUGUGCAUAACCAACUGGCCUCUUCCCCCCUUAGAUUGAUUUCUCACAUUACAAGUAAAAUUUUUAUUUAAUUUUUGAUCUCUUAUCAUGGAUAAGAAUACACAUUUAGGCUGGGCGCAGUGGCUCAUGCCUGUAAUCCCAGCACUUUGGGAGGCUGAGGUGGGCGGAUCACCUGAGGUCAGGAGAUCCAGACCAUCCUGGCUAACACAGUGAAACCCCAUCUCUACUAAAAAUACAAAAAUUAGCUGGGUGUAUGGCAGGUGCCUGUAAUUCCAGCUACUCGGGAGGCUGAGGCAGGAGAAUAGCUUGAACCUGAGAGGUGGAGGUUGCAGUGAGCUGAGAUCGUGCCACUGCACUCUAGCCUGGGUGACACAGCGAGACUCCAUGCCCACCAAAAAAAAAAAAAAAAGAAUAUACAUUUAUAGUUAAAAUUACACUUUUAAAGUAAGAAAAGCUCUCACAUCUACUGGCAGGUAUAGAAAAAAAGGAAUAAAGUAAGAAAGCUACCAAAAAAGCUCAAAAAUAAUUUUCAAGUACAUUAUCUACAUUAUCCCAGCCAGUUAACUUACUAUGUACUAAGUAUCUCCCACUUUAAUCUUACAUUGUUGAAAACUGAACAUUUCCCUCUGACCCUCCUGUCUUUAUCUACAACCUAAUAAAAAUGGCUGGGUUGCCAAUGAUCCACCCAAGUACAGUUAAUUCAGGAUUCCAACUCCCAUUUCCAGUAUCAGAAUAUAGUCACAAUACCUGCUGCUUCAAACACUGGAACUUUCUGGCUUCAGUUUCAUCAAAAUUGAGACCUGCCUUGGCUAGAAAAUUCCAAUUCCAUUAUUUCAAUUUCUAAUUACAUAAAAACCAAACAAAUCUGUUUUUUACUUAAGUGAACAAAAU
rnacentral:lncRNA from 1 species